rnacentral:tRNA from 1 species
GAGGGUAUAGCUCAGAGGUAGAACACAUGCUUAGCAUGCAUGGGGUCCUGGGUUCCAUCCCCAGUACCUCCA